AACGAACGCUGGCGGCAGGCUUAACACAUGCAAGUCGAGCGCCCCGCAAGGGGAGCGGCAGACGGGUAAGUAACGCGUGGGAAUCUACCCAUCUCUACGGAAUAACGCAUGGAAACGUGUGCUAAUACCGUAUACGUCCUUCGGGAGAAAGAUUUAUCGGAGAUGGAUGAGCGCGCGUUGGAUUAGCUAGUUGGUGGGGUAAAGGCCUACCAAGGCGACGAUCCAUAGCUGGUCUGAGAGGAUGAUCAGCCACACUGGGACUGAGACACGGACCAGACUCCUACGGGAGGCAGCAGUGGGGAAUAUUGGACAAUGGGCGCAAGCCUGAUCCAGCCAUGCCGCGUGAGUGAUGAAGGCCCUAGGGUUGUAAAGCUCUUUCACCGGUGAAGAUAAUGACGGUAACCGGAGAAGAAGCCCCGGCUAACUUCGUGCCAGCCGCCGCCGUAACAC
rnacentral:rRNA from 1 species